CACACAUUGAUCCCCACACCGUUCUCAAUGCAAAGGACAAAUCGGAGCCCAAGGACCUUCCCUUUAGUAGUAGAGCAUGCUUCCACAGGAAGAGGUUUAAUUUAUAGGAGGCUGUUUAUUGGUCCUUUAAAAUUUAUUGACAUUCCUUGAUCUUUGGAAACAACGGCAAAGGGCAAAUCAAACCUAAUAUUGAAUAAGGGAGAAGGAGUGCCAACUGGAU
rnacentral:lncRNA from 1 species